AUGCUAUACUUUUAGCCAUCAUUUCUAUAGUUUGUAACUUGUGAAAUGUGUUUUAAAAUGUCCAAACUCAGUACCCACGAGGAAAAGUUUAAGUGUUUUCUCCUAAGCAUGAAGUGUGUUUUCAGUGCUGCUUUAUUGUAGCUGCUGGCUGUUGUUGAUGACCGUUCCUCUCUUCUUAAUUGGAGAGUAGGAGGGAGAGAACACAAGCUGAGUGGUU
rnacentral:snoRNA from 1 species